AGAGUUCUUUCCUGGCNUCGAUUGAACGCUGGCGGCAGGCUUAACACUUGCAAGUCGAGCGGUAACAGGGGGUGCUUGCACCCCGCUGACGAGCGGCGGACGGGUGAGUAAUGCUUAGGAAUCUGCCCAGUAGUGGGGGAUAGCCCGGGGAAACCCGGAUUAAUACCGCAUACGUCCUACGGGAGAAAGCAGGGGAUCUUCGGACCUUGCGCUACUGGAUGAGCCUAAGUCGGAUUAGCUAGUUGGUGGGGUAAAGGCCUACCAAGGCGACGAUCCGUAGCUGGUCUGAGAGGAUGAUCAGCCACAUCGGGACUGAGACACGGCCCGAACUCCUACGGGAGGCAGCAGUGGGGAAUAUUGGACAAUGGGGGCAACCCUGAUCCAGCCAUGCCGCGUGUGUGAAGAAGGCUUUCGGGUUGUAAAGCACUUUCAGCGAGGAGGAAGGCUCUGAAGUUAAUACCUUCAGGGAUUGACGUUACUCGCAGAAGAAGCACCGGCUAACUCCGUGCCAGCAGCCGCGGUAAUACGGAGGGUGCAAGCGUUAAUCGGAAUUACUGGGCGUAAAGCGCGCGUAGGUGGUUAGGUAAGCGAGAUGUGAAAGCCCCGGGCUUAACCUGGGAACGGCAUUUCGAACUGUCUGACUAGAGUGUGGUAGAGGGUAGUGGAAUUUCCUGUGUAGCGGUGAAAUGCGUAGAUAUAGGAAGGAACACCAGUGGCGAAGGCGGCUACCUGGACCAACACUGACACCGAGGUGCGAAAGCGUGGGGAGCAAACAGGAUUAGAUACCCUGGUAGUCCACGCCGUAAACGAUGUCAACUAGCCGUUGGGACUCUUGAAGUCUUAGUGGCGCAGCUAACGCACUAAGUUGACCGCCUGGGGAGUACGGCCGCAAGGUUAAAACUCAAAUGAAUUGACGGGGGCCCGCACAAGCGGUGGAGCAUGUGGUUUAAUUCGACGCAACGCGAAGAACCUUACCUGGCCUUGACAUCCAGAGAACUUUCCAGAGAUGGAUUGGUGCCUUCGGGAACUCUGAGACAGGUGCUGCAUGGCCGUCGUCAGCUCGUGUCGUGAGAUGUUGGGUUAAGUCCCGUAACGAGCGCAACCCCUAUCCCUGGUUGCUAGCAGGUAAUGCUGAGAACUCCAGGGAGACUGCCGGUGACAAACCGGAGGAAGGUGGGGAUGACGUCAGGUCAUCAUGGCCCUUACGGCCAGGGCUACACACGUGCUACAAUGGCGCGUACAGAGGGCUGCCAACUCGCGAGAGUGCGCCAAUCCCUUAAAACGCGUCGUAGUCCGGAUCGGAGUCUGCAACUCGACUCCGUGAAGUCGGAAUCGCUAGUAAUCGCGAAUCAGAAUGUCGCGGUGAAUACGUUCCCGGGCCUUGCACUCACCGCCCGUC
rnacentral:rRNA from 1 species